GCCAGUGUAGUGUAGCUGUUUGAGAGCUGGACUAUGACUCUAGAGACCAGAGUUCGAAUCCCAGCUCAGCCA